rnacentral:tRNA from 1 species
UGGGUUGUAGUUCAGUGGUAAAGCACAUGCCUACCAUGCAUGAGGCUCUCGGUUUGAUGCCUAGCACCACAA